rnacentral:rRNA from 1 species
GUGAACGCUGGCGGCGUGGUUUAGGCAUGCAAGUCGAACGAUACCGCAAGGUAUAGUGGCAAAAGGGUGCGUAACGCGUGAGCAAUCUACCUUUGAGUGGGGAAUAACCUUGGGAAACCGAGGCUAAAACCGCAUAUGACCACGGCCCGGAAUCGGGCUGUGGUAAAAGACGGGGACCGUAAGGCCUGUCGCUUGAAGAUGAGCUCGCGUCCUAUCAGCUUGUUGGCGGGGUAAUGGCCCACCAAGGCUUUUGACGGGUAGCUGGUCUGAGAGGAUGGUCAGCCACAUUGGGACUGAGACACUGCCCAGACUCCUACGGGAGGCUGCAGUCGAGAAUCUUUUGCAAUGCUCGAAAGAGUGACAAUGCGACGCCGCGUGUGCGAUGAAGGUCUUCGGAUUGUAAAGCUCUUUUACCAGGGAAGAUAAUGACUGUACCUGGAGAAUAAGCCCCGGCUAACUUCGU